rnacentral:rRNA from 1 species
UACGGAGGGUGCAAGCGUUAUCCGGAUUUACUGGGUUUAAAGGGUGUGUAGGCGGACUUUUAAGUCAGCGGUGAAAUCUCCGGGCUCAACCCGGAAACUGCCAUUGAUACUAUUGGUCUUGAAUAUUGUGGAGGUGGGCGGAACGGGUCAUGUAGCGGUGAAAUGCUUAGAGAUGACCCGGAACACCGAUUGCGAAGGCAGCUUACUACCCGAAUAUUGACACUGAGGCACGAAAGCGUGGGGAUCAAACAGG